AGUGAACGCUGGCGGUAGGCCUAACACAUGCAAGUCGAACGGCAGCACAGUAAGAGCUUGCUCUUACGGGUGGCGAGUGGCGGACGGGUGAGGAAUACAUCGGAAUCUACUUUUUCGUGGGGGAUAACGUAGGGAAACUUACGCUAAUACCGCAUACGACCUACGGGUGAAAGCAGGGGAUCUUCGGACCUUGCGCGAUUGAAUGAGCCGAUGUCGGAGUAGCUAGGUGGCGGGGUAAAGGCCCACCAAGGCGACGAUCCGUAGCUGGUCUGAGAGGAUGAUCAGCCACAUUGGACCUGAGACACGGCCCAGACUCCGAGGGGAGGCAGCAGUGGGGAAUAUUGGACAAUGGGCGCAAGCCUGAUACAGCCAUACCGCGUGGGUGAAGAAGGCCUUCUGGUUGGAAAGCCCUUUUGUUGGGAAAGAAAAGCAGCAGGUUAAUACCCCGCUGUUCUGACGGUACCCAAAGAAUAAGCACCGGCUAACUUCGUG
rnacentral:rRNA from 1 species